rnacentral:rRNA from 1 species
ACGAACGCUGGCGGCGUGCUUAACACAUGCAAGUCGAACGGAAAGGCCCUGCUUUUGUGGGGUGCUCGAGUGGCGAACGGGUGAGCAACACGUGAGUAACCUGCCCUUGACUUUGGGAUAACUUCAGGAAACUGGGGCUAAUACCGGAUAGGAGCUCCUGCUGCAUGGUGGGGGUUGGAAAGUUUCGGCGGUUGGGGAUGGACUCGCGGCUUAUCAGCUUGUUGGUGGGGUAGUGGCUUACCAAGGCUUUGACGGGUAGCCGGCCUGAGAGGGUGACCGGCCACAUUGGGACUGAGAUACGGCCCAGACUCCUACGGGAGGCAGCAGUGGGGAAUAUUGCACAAUGGGCGGAAGCCUGAUGCAGCAACGCCGCGUGCGGGAUGACGGCCUUCGGGUUGUAAACCACUUUCGCCUGUGACGAAGCGUGAGUGACGGUAAUGGGUAAAGAAGCACCGGCUAACUACGUG